UGGGGAAUCUUCCGCAAUGGGCGAAAGCCUGACGGAGCAACGCCGCGUGAGUGAAGACGGCCUUCGGGUUGUAAAGCUCUGUUAAUCGGGACGAAUGGUUUGUGUGCAAAUAGUGCAUAGACAUGACGGUACCGGAAUAGAAAGCCACGGCUAACUACGUGCCAGCAGCCGCGGUAAUACGUAGGUGGCAAGCGUUGUCCGGAAUUAUUGGGCGUAAAGCGCGCGCAGGCGGACUAGCCAGUCAGUCUUAAAAGUUCGGGGCUUAACCCCGUGAUGGGAUUGAAACUACUAGUCUAGAGUAUCGGGGAGGAAAGUGGAAUUCCUAGUGUAGCGGUGAAAUGCGUAGAUAUUAGGAAGAACACCAGUGGCGAAGGCGACUUUCUGGACGAACACUGACGCUGAGGCGCGAAAGCCAGGGGAGCGAACGGG
rnacentral:rRNA from 1 species